CUAGUUCAAACGCGAUUUGCUUAAUUAGCGCGAGCCAAAUCAAGUUUGUAAUAAUUUGGUAUGUUAAUCGGAGAUGAAAUAGACUCAGGUUUGUAAUAACUUGGUCUGUUAAUUGUAGAUCAAAAUCAUUUUGUAUUAUUUUCGUAUUUGAAAUGACCUUGUAAGUUAUAUCCUUUAGCAACAUAUAUCUUAAAGGGUAAAGUUAUGUCUGGC
rnacentral:lncRNA from 1 species